AAAAACAUGUCUAUUUCAUUUUCUUUAAAGAACAGAGGGGAGGAAGGAGAGAAAUUCUCUGCUAGGGUUUUCUUUAACCCAAACCCCUAGCCGCCGCAACCACUUCAACGGGUUUGAAACCUCCCCCCGGCUCCGAUUUGGGCAGAGCAAACGGGGUUCCGUCGUCUCCUCCACGCAGAGUUCGUGGACUGUGCGAGGGCGACGUGCGCGACAUACGGGGCUGUUGUGCGUUCGUGCGCGAAGACAGUUGCUGCGGCGCCAAGGCUGGGAAGGAGGCUGCUGCUGCAGCACUGAGGCGAAAGGGCUUUGAUGGGUUUAUUGGGCUAGGUUAGAUUUAGUUUUAGGCUAAUGUAAUUGGGUUAUAAUAUGGGCUUGUUAUUUGUUUUUUAACCAGGCCAAAAUUGGCCUAUUACAAUGUAAUAAUUGGAGCAAAGCUUGCUGAAGGUGGGAAGUUUAUGAUUUGCCAAUGCUUCAGUCGAUUUCAAUA